rnacentral:rRNA from 1 species
AGUGAACGCUGGCGGUAGGCCUAACACAUGCAAGUCGAACGGCAGCACAGUAAGAGCUUGCUCUUACGGGUGGCGAGUGGCGGACGGGUGAGGAAUACAUCGGAAUCUACUUUUUCGUGGGGGAUAACGUAGGGAAACUUACGCUAAUACCGCAUACGACCUACGGGUGAAAGCAGGGGAUCUUCGGACCUUGCGCGAUUGAAUGAGCCGAUGUCGGAUUAGUUAGUUGGCGGGGUAAAGGCCCACCAAGGCGACGAUCCGUAGCUGGUCUGAGAGAAUGGUCAGCCACACUCGAACUGGGACACGGUCCAGACUCCUACGGGAGGCAGCAGUGGGGAAUAUUGGACAGUGGGCGCAAGCCUGAUCCAGCCAUACCACGUGAGUGAAGAAGGCCUUCGGGUUGUAAAGCCCUUUUGUUGGGAAAGAAAAGCAGCAGGUUAAUACCACGCUGUUCUGACGGUACCCAAAGAAUAAGCACCGGCUAACUUCGUG